rnacentral:rRNA from 1 species
UACGUAGGGUGCAAGCGUUAAUCGGAAUUAUUGGGCGUAAAGGGCGCGUAGGCGGCCUGGCAAGUGGAAGGUGAAAUCCCUCGGCUUAACCGAGGAACUGCCUCCCAAACUGCUUGGCUUGAGACCGGGAGAGGUGAGUGGAAUUCCCAGUGUAGCGGUGAAAUGCGUAGAUAUUGGGAGGAACACCAGUGGCGAAGGCGGCUCACUGGACCGGUACUGACGCUGAUGCGCGAAAGCGUGGGGAGCAAACGGG